UAUAACUAUAGAAAGGGAACAACAGGAUUUAGGCGGCUCUAAUAUAUAGAAAACCUAAUAAAGAUUUGGACAAAAGAAGGAUUUCUUGGUGUCUGGUAGUGGUGUUGUUAGAGAUCGUGAAGGAGUUUGAUUGAUUCUAGUUCCGGUGGAUAUUCUGAAGAUAUCUAACUGAGGGUAGACAUCUACACUUCUUGUAUUUAUUUAUUUUUUUUCGUUAUGUAGUUGUGAGGCAGUGGGAUACUUACUUUGGGUAGACUUCAUUAUUUUUUUCUUUUUCUUUGUUAGUUCGUUUUUAGAGGUGGAUUAUAUUAUUGAAGUCUAGUACACCGUUUCUAUUCUUUAGACAUCUUCAUUAUUUUUUGUCAAGAAAUAAAUUCCCUUUUGCAUA